ACGAACGCUGGCGGCACGCUUAACACAUGCAAGUCGAACGAGAGAAGAGAAGCUUGCUUUUCUGAUCUAGUGGCGGACGGGUGAGUAACACGUGAGCAAUCUGCCUUUCAGAGGGGGAUACCGAUUGGAAACGAUCGUUAAUACCGCAUAACAUAAUUGAACCGCAUGAUUUGAUUAUCAAAGAUUUAUCGCUGAAAGAUGAGCUCGCGUCUGAUUAGCUAGUUGGUAAGGUAACGGCUUACCAAGGCGACGAUCAGUAGCCGGACUGAGAGGUUGAUCGGCCACAUUGGGACUGAGACACGGCCCAGACUCCUACGGGAGGCAGCAGUGGGGAAUAUUGCACAAUGGAGGAAACUCUGAUGCAGCGAUGCCGCGUGAGGGAAGAAGGUUUUAGGAUUGUAAACCUCUGUCUUCAGGGACGAAAAAAGACGGUACCUGAGGAGGAAGCUCCGGCUAACUACGUGCCAGCAGCCGCGGUAAUACGUAGGGAGCGAGCGUUGUCCGGAAUUACUGGGUGUAAAGGGAGCGUAGGCGGGAUCGCAAGUCAGAUGUGAAAACUAUGGGCUUAACCCAUAAACUGCAUUUGAAACUGUGGUUCUUGAGUGAAGUAGAGGUAAGCGGAAUUCCUAGUGUAGCGGUGAAAUGCGUAGAUAUUAGGAGGAACAUCAGUGGCGAAGGCGGCUUACUGGGCUUUAACUGACGCUGAGGCUCGAAAGCGUGGGGAGCAAACAGGAUUAGAUACCCUGGUAGUCCACGCCGUAAACGAUGAUUACUAGGUGUGGGGGGGCUGACCCCUUCCGUGCCGCAGCAAACGCAAUAAGUAUCCCACCUGGGGAGUACGGCCGCAAGGUUGAAACUCAAAGGAAUUGACGGGGGCCCGCACAAGCAGUGGAGUAUGUGGAUUAAUUCGAAGCAACGCGAAGAACCUUACCAGGUCUUGACAUCGUAUGCAUAGCUCAGAGAUGAGUGAAAUCUCUUCGGAGACAUAUAGACAGGUGGUGCAUGGUUGUCGUCAGCUCGUGUCGUGAGAUGUUGGGUUAAGUCCCGCAACGAGCGCAACCCUUACUGUUAGUUGCUACGCAAGAGCACUCUAGCAGGACUGCCGUUGACAAAACGGAGGAAGGUGGGGAUGACGUCAAAUCAUCAUGCCCCUUAUGACCUGGGCCUCACACGUACUACAAUGGCUGUCAACAGAGGGAUGCAAAGCCGCGAGGUGGAGCGAACCCCUAAAAGCAGUCUUAGUUCGGAUUGUAGGCUGCAACCCGCCUACAUGAAGUCGGAAUUGCUAGUAAUCGCAGAUCAGCAUGCUGCGGUGAAUACGUUCCCGGGCCUUGUACACACCGCCCGUCACGCCAUGGGAGUCGGUAACACCCGAAGCCUGUAGUCUAACCGCAAGGAGGACGCAGUCGAAGGUGGGAUUGAUGACUGGGGUG
rnacentral:rRNA from 1 species